UUAACAGAAUUAGCCAUGCGUAAAUUGGUAUUACGAAGUGUACAACAGUGCAAGUCUACACGUGUAGUCACUACUGUAGUCACUUCCAACAAUACUAUGUGAUGUCAAGUCGACUGGGCGUAGAGCAACGACUUUGAAAGAAGUAGCCUUUGAAGUAGCCACGUCCUACAGUGGAGAAAAUCAAAGUUGACGUGUCAAUUGCUCUAGGUCUCGUGCCAGCGAGUGGCGCUAACAUUGGAGAGACCGGAGUUUCUGCGUCACAAUACAGUUGCGUAUGUUUAUCAGUUACGUAUAUGCAUGCUUACGGUCACGCGAUUUCUGUUAAAACUUUAGCCAUAUAUUGUGGAUAGAAACUACAAACUUGUUUUUUCUUAUGCAUGUUAAUUAACAUUAUGUAUAGUCCUUACUCCUGUGUUGGAACUGCACCAAGUUGUGGUGCGUCAGAAAAAUGUAUUAUUAUAUUAUUAUUAUAUUAUAUUUUGUGUGGCCAUCGCGCUCUCAGUAGGGUAAGUGGGGUCUUUGGUUGAAAUUGGUUGAAAUCAUGCACUGUGCAAGUUAGAGAAUCUAACGUGAUGUAUGAGAUGUUUAGCUGUGUUAGAGAAAACAGCUAGAAGAUAGCUCAUGCAAUGACAUCUGCAUGGGUUUGGAGAAAAGACAAUGAUGUUGACUGAUGUGGCGGAAUUUUAUCUCUUUCACUGCUCACAAUUAAUAUGCCAGUCAGUACUAAAUUCCGUUUCUGGAAGUUUAGUGAAGCUGCUCUAAAUCAAGUACAUUAGGGGUAAUCACUACAAUAUUGAAACGAUUUGAAUUUUCAACCAAAACUGUAAUAUAUCUGCUACAGCAGUACAAAAUAGUCUAUGGUAACUAGCUACCUCUUUGUGGUAAAUUUAUUAGAUUGUACUUUGACAAUAGCAAAGUUGGUAGUUCCUCAA